rfam:Neotoma lepida isolate 417 scaffold_321, whole genome shotgun sequence.
CCAAAGGCUCUUUUCAGAGCCACCCACAACCUUAAAGAAAGAGCUGU